rnacentral:misc_RNA from 1 species
CUGAGGGCUCAUACCUGAUAGAAAAUCAUAUUCUCAGUUUUGAAACCCAAGAUCAAAAUGAUUCUUUACCCUCUAAAUUCCCAUUUUAGCCUUUCAAAAUAUCGAAUGAAAAUGAAAAAUCUUGUUGGGUAUUUUGGUAAUCCUAAUCUAUAGUCCAUUGAUGCCACGAUUUUAGCUCCAGCAGUCAAUCUGUCGGUUUUAAAUGUUCUGGGGACCCUCUGCGUUUUUCCAGUCUAUCUUUUAUGGUCAUUAAUUGACCACAACUCUCUAAUCUCUCCUUUUCUCUUUCUCUAUCUCACUCUCUUUCUCUCUAUUUCUUUUACAUUUAUCCUUCAAACAUAUUGACCACCAAUUCAUAAUAACACCUUCAAAGUUUACUCCAAUACAAAGGCAAACCAUGGCAAACAUUAAACUAUGCAACUUACUCUUGCUACUCUUCUGCUUUAUCCUUGCAGCAUUUGUUACUCAAGGUUAUAAUCUUUUUUUUCCCUUCUAUUUUGGUCUACUUCAAAAGUGUUUCAGCUAAUUCUAUAUAUUGAUAUAUUUAAUGUUGAUAUGUUCAAGUUCACUUCUACUUUCUUGCACUCUAUGUACUCCUUUCAUUCCAUAGAUCUACUUUCUUUCUUGUAUUGUUUGCCAAGAAUGUAUAUUAAUUAUGCUUUUUUGCUUUCUCCUAUUCUUAUCUUCUACAAGAAUUGCUAAAAUUAUAUCAAUAUCUCAUGCUUAAUUAUCAUUCUCCACUUGCAGGAUCCAGAACUCAUCAAGAACUUCUUCCUAAUAAUCCAAGAACCUUUAUCUCAUCAGGAGGAUCACAUUUUCGGGUCGGGACUAACAAGCAUUUUCCACAGAGAAUUUCUUAGUUAGUUUAAUUUGUUUACCAAUCAGAAAGAAAAGAAAAGAAGGUACUUAAUUUCUUCUAAAUUCUACAACAUUUGAUACUGAAAACUUCUGGAUUUGGAGCUUGCAGAUUGGUAGUGAAGGACAGACUUCAAGGAAUUCAAGGAGAUUGAUGAUCGGAUCCACGGCUCCUACUUGCACUUACAAUGAAUGCAGAGGAUGCAAAUACAAGUGCAGGGCUGAGCAAGUUCCAGUGGAAGGAAAUGACCCCAUAAAUAGUCCAUACCACUACAAAUGUGUUUGUCAUAGGUGAUGGAUGGACAAAUCAAAUUAUAAUUAUAUGGAUAUAUAUAAUGUUUAUCAGUUCAUUAGUUGAUGAGUGGGUUAAUAUAUAAUGAUAAUUAUAAUUAUAAUUACAAUUAUAAUUAUAAUUAUUGUGAUUUUUGUAUCAAGAAAAAUAUGCGAGGGAAAUAUGAGUGGUGCUAGGAUUAUUAGCUAGCUGUUAUAGCGUUCACUGGACUGGAUGCUUGAAUUUUUGCCUGUUCCAAUAUCAUGCAAUUUCCUGAUAAAAUGAUUUUCCUUGUUCUUCUCAUUCUUCUGUUUCUUGCUGAUGUACUAAGACCAAUAAACUUGCCUAUUCAAAUGAUAGAGUAUAGAUGCUUUCAGUGUUUG